ensembl:snRNA U1 U1 spliceosomal RNA
AUACUUACCUGACAAGGUAAGUGAUCAAGAAGGUGAUCUUUCCAGGUCUUUCCAUUGCAAUCCAGAUGUGCUGACCCCUGUGAUUUCCCCAAUGUGGGAAAGUCAACUGCAUAAUUUUUGGUAGUGGGGGACUGUGUUGGCAUUCUUCCCAG